AAAGUACGUAGAAUAUGGUGCAUCCAGGAGGAUUCGAACCUCCGACCGCUCGGUUCGUAGCCGAGUACUCUA
rnacentral:tRNA from 1 species